rnacentral:rRNA from 1 species
UACGUAGGUGGCAAGCGUUGUCCGGAUUUACUGGGCGUAAAGGGCGCGUAGGUGGAUAUUUAAGUGGGAUGUGAAAUACUCGGGCUUAACCUGGGUGCUGCAUUCCAAACUGGAUAUCUAGAGUGCAGGAGAGGAAAGGAGAAUUCCUAGUGUAGCGGUGAAAUGCGUAGAGAUUAGGAAGAAUACCAGUGGCGAAGGCGCCUUUCUGGACUGUAACUGACACUGAGGCUCGAAAGCGUGGGGAGCAAACAGG